UACAGAGGUCUCAAGCGUUGUUCGGAUUCAUUGGGCGUAAAGGGUGUGUAGGUGGCGCCGUAAGUCGGGUGUGAAAUUUCGGAGCUUAACUCCGAAACUGCAUUCGAUACUGCGGUGCUUGAGGACUGGAGAGGAGACUGGAAUUUACGGUGUAGCGGUGAAAUGCGUAGAUAUCGUAAGGAAGACCAGUGGCGAAGGCGGGUCGUCUGGACAGUUCCUGACGCUGAGGCACGAAGGCCAGGGGAGCAAACGGG
rnacentral:rRNA from 1 species